rnacentral:rRNA from 1 species
AGGCGCGAAAACUUUACAAUGCGGGAAACCGUGAUAAGGGAACAUCGAGUGCCAGCAUCUUAUGUUGGCUGUCCAGAUGCGUAAAAUGCAUCUGUUAGCAAGGGCCGGGCAAGACCGGUGCCAGCCGCCGCGGUAACACCGGCGGCCCGAGUGGUAAUCGUUAUUAUUGGGUCUAAAGGGUCCGUAGCCGGCCAGGUCAGUCCUCCGGGAAAUCUGGCAGCUUAACUGUCAGGCUUUUGGGGGAUACUGUCAGGCUUGGAACCGGGAGAGGUAAGAGGUACUACAGGGGUAGGAGUGAAAUCUUGUAAUCCCUGGGGGACCACCAGUGGCGAAGGCGUCUCACCAGAACGGGUUCGACGGUAAGGGACGAAAGCUGGGGGCACGAACCGGAUUAGAUACCCGGGUAGUCCCAGCCGUAAACGAUGCUCGCUAGGUGUCAGGCAUGGUGCGACCGUGAUUGGUGCCGCAGGGAAGCCGUGAAGCGAGCCACCUGGGAAGUACGGCCGCAAGGCUGAAACUUAAAGGAAUUGGCGGGGGAGCACAACAACGGGUGGAGCCUGCGGUUUAAUUGAAUUCAACGCCGGAAAACUCACCGGGGGCGACAGCAAUAUGAAGGUCAGGCUGAAGACCUUACCCGAAUAGCUGAGAGGAGGUGCAUGGCCGUCGUCAGUUCGUACUGUGAAGCAUA